rfam:Tupaia chinensis contig69347, whole genome shotgun sequence.
GUGCUCGUUUCGGCAGCACAUAUACUAAAAUUGGAACAACUCAGAGAAGAUUAGCACGGCCCCUGUGCAAGGAUGACACGCAAAUUUGUGAAGCAUUGCAUGUUUUU